rnacentral:rRNA from 1 species
AUUGAUCGCUAACGGCGUGCUUAACACAUGCAAGUCGAGCGGCAGCAUGAUCUGUAGCAAUACAGAUUGAUGGCGAGCGGCGGACGGGUGAGUAACAUAUAGGAAUCUGCCUUGUAGUGGGGGAUAACCCGGGGAAACUCGGGCUAAUACCGCAUAAUCUCUACGGAGCAAAGUGGGGGACCGUAAGGCCUCACGCUAAAAGAUGAGCCUAUAUUGGAUUAGCUAGUUGGUGAGGUAAUGGCUCACCAAGGCGACGAUCCAAAGCUGGUCUGAGAGAAUGAACAGCCACACUGGGACUGAGACACGGCCCAGACUCCUACGGGAGGCAGCAGUGGGGAAUAUUGGACAAUGGGCGCAAGCCUGAUCCAGCAACGCCGUGUGUGUGAAGAAGGCCUUCGGGUUGUAAAGCACUUUUAGUUGGGAAGAAAAGCUUAUGGUUAAUAACCAUGAGUGAUGACGUUACCAACAGAAAAAGCACUGGCUAACUCUGUGCCAGCAGCCGCCGUAA